UCCAUAGGAUUCCAUCCUAAAUUAGUGCAGAACAAACAGCUGAUACUACUGUGACAUGGGCAAACUUCUGAGGUGUGCACUGCAGCCACCCCAGAGCUUGCUCAUUGGUGCCACUAUCACUAUCCCAACUGCAAACCUUCCAUCAGAGCCUUCUCCUCCCCUGCUGCUGCCCACAUACACUCAGCAGGCUGUGGGCAGCACUGCUUCCUUCUACCUGAGGGGAGAACACAAAUGGCAGGAUCUGGGAGAGGGAGCAAUCAGAGCUGGGAGUACCCAGGGUAACAUCAGGAAACGCCUUCCCACAAGACCCAAAGAAGAAGCAAUGGCAUGAACUUGUUCUUCCUUAAAAAAACUUGCAAGUC